rnacentral:rRNA from 1 species
AAACCAACUGGGAUUACCUUAGUAACGGCGAGUGAAGCGGUAAAAGCUCAAAUUUGAAAUCUGGUACUUUCAGUGCCCGAGUUGUAAUUUGUAGAAUUUGUCUUUGAUUAGGUCCUUGUCUAUGUUCCUUGGAACAGGACGUCAAAGAGGGUGAGAAUCCCGUUUGGCGAGGAUACCUUUUCUCUGUAAGACUUUUUCGAAGAGUCGAGUUGUUUGGGAAUGCAGCUCAAAGUGGGUGGUAAAUUCCAUCUAAAGCUAAAUAUUGGCGAGAGACCGAUAGCGAACAAGUACAGUGAUGGAAAGAUGAAAAGAACUUUGAAAAGAGAGUGAAAAAGUACGUGAAAUUGUUGAAAGGGAAGGGCAUUUGAUCAGACAUGGUGUUUUUUAAAUGUGCAAGUCUCUCGUGGACAUGUGCCUCUGGAAAUUAACACUGGGCCAACAUCAGUUCUGGCGGCAGGAUAAAUCAUUAAGAAUGUAGCUACUUCGGUAGUGUUAUAGCUUUUUGGAAUACUGCCAG